rnacentral:rRNA from 1 species
GGGGCAACCUGGCGGCGAGCGGCGAACGGGUGAGUAAUGCAUCGGAACAUGUCCAUGUCGUGGGGGAUAGCCCGGCGAAAGCCGGAUUAAUACCGCAUACGCCCGAGAGGGGAAAGUGGGGGACCGCAAGGCCUCACGCGAUUGGGUUGGCCGAUGUCCGAUUAGCUAGUUGGCGGGGUAAGAGCCCACCAAGGCGAUGAUCGGUAGCUGGUCUGAGAGGAUGAUCAGCCACACUGGGACUGAGACACGGCCCAGACUCCUACGGGAGGCAGCAGUGGGGAAUUUUGGACAAUGGGGGCAACCCUGAUCCAGCCAUUCCGCGUGAGUGAAGAAGGCCUUCGGGUUGUAAAGCUCUUUUGUCCGGAACGAAACGGUUGGCGUGAAUAUCGCCGACUACUGACGGUACCGGAAGAAUAAGCACCGGCUAACUACGUGCCAGCAGCCGCGGUAAUACGUAGGGUGCGAGCGUUAAUCGGAAUUACUGGGCGUAAAGCGUGCGCAGGCGGUUUUGUAAGCCAGAUGUGAAAUCCCCGGGCUUAACCUGGGAAUGGCAUUUGGGACUGCAAGGCUGGAGUGUGGCAGAGGAGACUGGAAUUCCUGGUGUAGCAGUGAAAUGCGUAGAUAUCAGGAGGAAUACCGAUGGCGAAGGCAGGUCUCUGGGCUGACACUGACGCUCAUGCACGAAAGCGUGGGGAGCAAACAGGAUUAGAUACCCUGGUAGUCCACGCCCUAAACGAUGUCGACUGGUUGUUGGGGGUUUGACACUCUCAGUAACGAAGCUAACGCGUGAAGUCGACCGCCUGGGGAGUAC